UCAGCAGGCCGCGGUAAUACAUAGGGUGCAAGCGUUGUCCAGAAUUAUUGGGCGUAAAGAGCUCGUAGGUCGUUUGUUAMGUCGGAUGUGAAAACCYGAGGCUCAACCUCAGGCCUGCAUUCGAUACUGGCAAACUAGAGUUUGGUAGGGGAGASUGGAAUUCCUGGUGUAGCGGUGGAAUGCGCAGAUAUCAGGAGGAACACCAAUGGCGAAGGCAGGUCUCUGGGCCAAUACUGACACUGAGGAGCGAAAGYCUGGGGAGCRAACAGGAUUAGAUACCCUGGUAGUCCACACCGUAAACGGUGGGCACUAGUUGUGGGAACCUUCCACGGUUUCUGCGACGCAGCUAACGCAUUAAGUGCCCCGCCUGGGGAGUACGAUCGCAAGAUUAAAACUCAAAGGA
rnacentral:rRNA from 1 species